CGUUGUAAMCCGACGGGSCAGUGAAUUGUAAUACGACUCACUAUAGGGCGAAUUGGGCCCGACGUCGCAUGCUCCCGGCCGCCAUGGCGGCCGCGGGAAUUCGAUUAGAGUUUGAUCCUGGCUCAGGAUUAACGCUAGCGGCAGGCCUAAUACAUGCAAGUCGAACGGUAACAGGUCCAGCAAUGGAUGCUGACGAGUGGCGCACGGGUGCGUAACACGUAUGCAAUCUACCCUUAACUGGGGGAUAGCCCCGAGAAAUCGGGAUUAAUACCCCAUAMCAUUAUGAUGAGACAUCUCAUUAUAAUUAAAGCUCCGGCGGUUUUGGAUGAGCAUGCGCGACAUUAGCUAGUUGGUGAGGUAACGGCGCACCAAGGCGACGAUGUCUAGGGGUUCUGAGAGGAUUCACCCCCACACUGGUACUGAGMCACGGACCAGACUCCUACGGGAGGCASCAGUAAGGAAUAUUGGYCAAUGGACGCAAGUCUGAACCASCCAUGCCSCGUGAAGGAUSACGGCCCUAUGGGYUGUAAACUUCYUYGY
rnacentral:rRNA from 1 species